rnacentral:rRNA from 1 species
UACGAAGGGGGCUAGCGUUGUUCGGAAUUACUGGGCGUAAAGCGCACGUAGGCGGACAUUUAAGUCAGGGGUGAAAUCCCGGGGCUCAACCCCGGAACUGCCUUUGAUACUGGGUGUCUUGAGUGUGGUAGAGGUGAGUGGAAUUGCGAGUGUAGAGGUGAAAUUCGUAGAUAUUCGCAGGAACACCGGUGGCGAAGGCGGCGACCUGGUCCGAUACUGACGCUGAGGCGCGAAAGCGUGGGGAGCAAACAGG